rnacentral:lncRNA from 1 species
UUUUCAUAAAACAAAACAUAGAGUUUUGAGUUUGUGACUUUUUUUCUUACAGCAGGACCAACAUUAGGUUUGGACACUGUGGAAACUGACUGUGAAGGACAUGAAGGAUCAUGUGAACAAUGCAACCAAAGAUGCCUUGACCAAGGCUUUACAAGAGGAGGUGGAUGUUAUGGAUUUGCUCAAUGUUGUUGUGUGAAGAAUUGAAAUAAAUUAUAUGAUUUUAUCAUGAAGGAAAAUGAAAAAUGAUAUCACACUACAAGAAAAACUGUUAUUACCUACGGCAAUUUUUAUCUUUAUCUACGGACUAUCCAUAGGUAACGUAAAAUUACCUACGGAUUACCCACGGACACGAGUUCGUAGCUAAAUCGCUCGUAGGAAAAUAUUUACCGACAGACAAGCUGUGGGACACACUUACCUAGGUAUUGUCCGUGGGUAAUAUGACCCACUGAGUCUCUGUGGGUAACGUUACUCAUAGAUUUGCCGUAGGUAAAAUAGUAGAUAGUUAUCGACGGCUGUGGGUAAGUUACUCAUAGAUUUGCCGUAGGUAAAAUAGUAGAUAGUUAUCGACGGAAAAGUCGUAGGUUACAUUACCCACGGAUCAUCCGUGACAAGUCUACUAUUUUAUAUUUAAUAGUGAUAAUUUUAUCCAUGAAUUGUCCGUGGGUAAUGAAAAAAUGAUUUUAAUUAUAUUUUUGUUGGUUUUCUGUAUUUUUUAAUAUAUAUUUAAAAUUAAUUGUAAGCAUAUUAAACAUCAUUGUCAAAACAAAGUGAAAUAUUAUGUAAAUAGUAUUUUCAAAUUACACCUCCUGACUGCCACAAAUUUCAAAAUAAGGGCAACUUGCCCUACCAUUAGUUUCAAAAUACACAUUCUCACUACCAUAACUUACAGAUUGUCACUACCAUAAAUUUCAAAAUACACAUAACCAUAAGUUUCAAAAUACACAUAACCAAAAUACAUAUUGUCACUACCAUAAGUUUCAAAGUACUACUAUACGAAACUAACAAUGAAAUAAGUACUACUCAUCGCCGUCAUCAUCGUUAGACUCAUCCUCGUCAUAAUCUAGAUGACGACGCCGACGGGAUGACUCAGCCUGUAUGGAAGCAACACUUUUUGCCAAUGUUGCUAGCUGUAUCUGGAGCUCUUUAGUGCGUUGCUCAUCCUCUUGUCGACGUUGCUCUGCUUUCCUUAGCUCCUCCCGCGCCUCUCGUGCCUCGUGUUUUUCCGCUUUUGCUUGCUCCUCAAAUGCUGCUAUCUGUGCAGCUAUCUCGGUAGAGUGUUGAGACAAGACAUUGACACAACCUCUAGAUGGACGAGAAUCUGGGACUAGACUUGCGACACCUGGUCUAUAAAGUGAGGAUCUAUCUCCAGCACCAUAGAUCCUCCCUUUAUUCUUCCCCCCAACAGAUUGGACCCACAUGUCUAAGCGAGCUUCCGCAUUAACCACUUGGCUACAACUACUAGACGCUUCCCCAUUUUUGGAAGCUUGUUGCAACUUACCUUGAUAUGUUUCCUACUCAAAUAGAAAAUGAUUUAACAUAAUCAAAUUACUUAACAUAAUCAAAUUACUUUUCCAAGAAAUACAAAUGAAAGAAUGAAUGAAUGAUUUAAUAUUUCUUACAUAUGUUUUUUUUGCUCUUUCAUCAACCCAAGAGUUGUCCUUCUUCUUAGUGUGAGUUUUUAAAAAGACCUCAUCCAAUGUGUCUCAACCUAUUAGCCUAAGGUCAAAUUCAAAGAUGAGAAAAAUCUUCAUUAGAAGUUUUAAUAUAUCAUUGAUAACCAAUUACUCUUUUUAAAAAAAAAUUAGUUGGUGUAGUCAUCAGUGGUGACAGCUAUAAAUUGAUAUAAAUUGAACCAAGAUCUCAUGCUAUUGACAAGUAGGGUUAAAUAAGCGUGGAACUUCGUUGCAACAGAUAACUCUAAAUAGAGAAGGAAGAAAUUAUAACGAUCUACUUGAACAUAUUGGUGAAAGGAAACUACAUAAUGGAAUGGAUAGUCAGAGACAAAUUGAUUUUUAUAGUAAAAGAUUACCUGAUGAAUGGAGAACUCAUUGUAACUUUAAGCUCCUCUAUAACUCUGUCCAAAGUACAUUCAAAGCCAAAAUCCCCUAUUGGAUGUAGCUUUAUAGCAAAGCGAACAACAUCCUCAUCACUAUAAAUUCACCUUAUCAACAAGGGAUGGUUUGCAAUCUGGAAUAGGAAUGGAGAAAAUAUAAAUAUGUACAGCAGCAACAACCUUGCGGAACUGAACAAAAUAAUUAUUUAUUUGAGUUCAGAUCAGAACACUUUGUUAACCGAGCUUGUGAAAUUGUACGAUACUCCUCAAUGGCUUCCUUGUAAGCAUGAUCCUGUUGUUUUUCCAUUAUGACAUAUUCAACCUGCAGCAGCAUAGUGAGCCUUUAAAAGUAUAUAUAACAACAAGCUUACUAUAAUAACAAAUGAAAAAAUAGGAUAUGUUGAAGAUGAAGUGUAAAUUGACCCAAUGAAAUCAACAUUGAAGGUAAUAAACAUACAUGUUGUGUUUUUUGAACAAGUUACUGCAUUACAUCAGAUUUCAGACGCCACAAAAUAAAUGGUACUAAUAUAGACUUCAUAUGACUAAUUAAAUCCCUAUCUUGUGCACUUAGUAACUUUUUUAAGUUGACAUCUUCAGAAGCACAAAUAUCAGGCAUCAUAAACUCCAACAUAGACCAUAACUCCUGCACCAAAAAAUACAUUUAUAUUAAUACUAAGCAAAACCAACAGGUAGAGCUGAGAGAUUUUGCACUCAAUGAUACAUUUAUAUUAAUACUCAAGUAUAGCUGCCUUCAACUUAAAUUAUCGAUGACUCAACAGUUUUGCACUCAAUGAUUUAUGAUUGAACAAAAUAUUAUAAGUGGAUCGAUCUAUGGGGAUUAGCAUUUAGCAGCUGUGUAAAAGUAACCAUAACAUGAUCGAUGUAUUAACCCUACACGGCAUUUGGCAACUUGCUAAUACUGUGCAUGAUUAUUGAUCAUCAUCUUCCAUUCUUAUAAAAAGGUAAAGUUAGUCAUAUCUUCCAUUCUUAUACUGUCUGCAUCAGUCAUGUUUUAGUGUCACUAUCAACCUAUUUUCAUUUCCACAAAAGCCCUAAAGUCCAAAACAAUGUUUCUUUCUUUUCACAAUUUACACUCUUCCCUUUUCUCUAUUUGAUCAACCACUCAGAUUGAGUCAUACAAAUUCAGUUGCUUCCCUUUUUCCGGUAAUAAAAUCUGCCAUAUUCCUAAAUAUCAGAAUCAAGCAUUUUUCAUAGAGAGGCAGCCAGAAUAGAGAGGCAGCCAGAAUCAAGCAUUUUUCAUAGGUAUCUUUACUUAUGAGUUAUAUAUAUAUGUCCAUUCAUUCUAUUCUAUUUUUCCAGGCAUAUAUUCAGCAACUUGAAUCAAGCAGGAUUAGGCUUAAUCAGAUGGAACAAGAACUAACACAUGCUAGAAAUCAACAGUUAAACAUGAACACAAUACCUAACUAUCCUAAUUGAACAUGAACAGCAACCAAGUUCUCUCAGACUCACCAUCAGUUCUCAGAUUCAACAGUUAACUCACAUAACAACUACAUGUAAAUAAACAAUGAAACUGAACACAAUACCUAAUAUCAAGAUGUAAAUAAACAAUAAAAAUGCAACAGUUAAACAUGAACACAGUACCUAACUAUCCUAAUUGAACACGAACAGCAACCGAGUUCUCUCAGACUCCCAUUAAUUCUCAGAUUCAACAGUUAACUCACAUAACAACUACAUGUAAAUAAACAAUGAAACUGAACACAAUACCUAAUAUCAAGAUGUAAAUAAACAAUAAAAAUGCAACAGUUAAACAUGAACGCAGUACCUAACUAUCCUAAUUGAACAUGAACAUCAACCAAGUAACAGAGAUUGGUUCGAGAAAGAAGCAGUCAUUGUACGCUAUGGUUAGGGUUUUCAAUUCAAAUUGGGGCUUUUUCAGUAAGACUCGAUUUCAGUAAAAAUUGAUUUCGGAAAAUGAAAAGAUAUUAAAGGAAGAUAACUUACCUUAAGAGAUAGCGAUCAUCACGGCGGAGCGAAGCAGGGAUGCGGAGGGUUCGGACAAGAAGAAGGAGCGAAGCGAAGCAGCUCGAACUUGGGAUGCGGAGGAACGAGACGGGCUUUGGGAUGCNNNNNNNNNNNNNNNNNNNNNNNNNNNNNNNNNNNNNNNNNNNNNNNNNNNNNNAUACGAUUCGGACAAGAAGAAGGGAGGGAAGAAGGGCUUAGGGCUCAUACGAUUCAGACAAGAAGAAGGGAAUAAGGGGUUAGGGCUCAUACGAUUUAUGGGUUUACCUUAUACAAUUUUUGGGUAUUAAGAAAUUUCUGGGUUCUGGAAGCAUUUAGAAGGCAGCCUAUGUUAACAUCCCUUGAUAAAAUUAAUUUAGUAUCAGUUGGGGACCUUUUUUUAAAAAAUUCAACAGAAAUUUUUUCUAAAAAAUAGACAUUACCUACGGAUAAGCUGUAGUAAAAAUAAUACGAAAAUUUUUGGCAAAAUUUAAGUUAGGAUUGUAUUUUUUUUUUCAUUACCCACGGAUUUUUUAAUUUUACUUACGGAAUUACCGUGGUAAUUAAUUAAAAAAAUUAUUUUAUACAACAAUACACACGGUUUUUCCGUGGGUAACAAUUAAUUUACCCACGGAUUAUGAUCCGUGGCUAAUUUUCCGUAGAUAUUAUUUUAUCACGAAGGAAAAUGAAAAAUGAUAUCAUCGACACUCUUUCUUUGUGUAAUACUUUGUCUUCUUGAAGAAGAAGAAUCUAAAUAUAAGUAUACUUAUUCUUUAA